rnacentral:rRNA from 1 species
UGGGGGAUAUUGCACAAUGGGCGAAAGCCUGAUGCAGCGACGCCGCGUGGGGGAUGAAGGCCUUCGGGUUGUAAACUUCUUUUGCUCUGAACAAGGCGCACCAUGGGGUGUGUUGAGUGUAGGGGUUGAUUAGCGCCGGCUAACUACGUGCCAGCAGCCGCGGUAAUACGUAGGGCGCGCGCGUUGUCCGGAAUUAUUGGGCGUAAAGGGCUUGUAGGUGGCUGGUUGCGUCUGUCGUGAAAGCUCAUGGCUUAACUGUGGGUUUGCGUUGGGUACGGGCUGGCUUGAGUGCAGUAGGGGAGGCUGGAAUUCCUGGUGUAGCGGUGGAAUGCGAAGAUAUCAGGAGGGAUACCGGUGGCGAAGGGGGGUCUCUGGGCUGUUACUGACACUGAGGAGCGAAAGCAUGGGGAGCGAAGAGG